GNGAUNAGNAANAUNNNAAUACNNGCAUUCAAGAGUACUCACAAACUGCUUCAGAGGUAAACGGGGUGGAACCCAUCGAAGAUCCCUGUGGCGGUUAGGAUUCAGUCCAGCAUGCCGGCGGACGUGGAUCGCGUCGGACCCGAACGAUGGGAGCCCGAGACCAAGGGGUCCCGUCCGACCGCACGAUGUCGUUGCUCUGGACGCAUUUCUUGCCGCCUAAAGGACGCCGCAGCCGGUUGGGUAGUCGCAAACGAGACGGCCAGAAGGGCGGUCGACGGCAGGUCGCCGGGGUGUCCGCUUCGCGCGGUUCUCCCGGUGGGUAGCCGGCCCGUCAGUGGUAUCGUCACCCGACCGUGGCGUCACGAGGCCCGCUUCUGGGCUCGGAACGCCUCCUCCGAUGAUUGGGAGAGACAUUCGGGGCAGGCGUCGCUCCGGUGCGCUCCGUCGCACGCCCGAGCGGCGUGGGCGGGGAGCCGGUUGCCGCCGCUAGCCCUGUCGAGUCUCGCCGGAGUCGGCCGGAGGCUCGCGGCGAGUAGGUCGGUCAUCCACCCGACCCGUCUUGAAACACGGACCAAGGAGUCUAACAUGUGCGCGAGUCAAUGGGACUUGAAUAUGCCCAGAGGCGCAAUGAAAGCAAAGGCCGCGCCGAAGCGCGUGGCCGAGUUGGGAUCCCGGAGCCUCGAGUUCCGGGCGCACCAGCGGCCCGUCCUAUCCGACUCGUCGGUUGGGCGGAGCGUGAGCGCACACGUUGGGACCCGAAAGAUGGUGAACUAUGCUCGGGCAGGACGAGGCCCAAAGGAAACUCUGGUGGGAGGUCCGCAGCGGUUUCUGACGUGCAAAAUCGAUCGUCAGAUCCGAGUAUAGGGGCGAAAGAANUAA
rnacentral:rRNA from 1 species